AGAUGGUUUCAUUUCUUAGAUGGUAUCAGUGACAAAAACAGAAGUGUCGAAAAGUGAUCGCUCCCAGUUACCUGAAGAAGGUGGAGCCUUGCUGGAGGAAACACGUCACAGUGGGCGGGUCUGUAAAUACAGAUUCCACAAAAUUUCCUGUCUCUGCCUCUCAUCCUACCAUAGGAACACUCUAAUUAUUGAUGUAUGCCACUGUACCUUACUUUAUGUAAGCUCUAAGAAUCUGAGCCCAGGUCAUCAUGCUAAUACAGCUAACAUCUACCCACUGAGCAUCUCUCCAGCCCCACGAAUGGC